rfam:Heligmosomoides polygyrus genome assembly, scaffold: HPBE_scaffold0011835
GCACCGGUAGUGUAAGGCGUAGCAUCGCUGCCCGGAAAGCAGAAGGUGCGGGUUCGAGUCCCGCCUGUCUCA